GAGGUGGCACAGCGGGAAAGUGGUUCCCAAGAGAGGGUGCCUUCGUAUGUCCCUUACCCCCUGGAGGGGUUCCCUGAGGCUCACUGGGGGCUCAUGGGGGGUCCACCCCACCCAGCAGCCGGUGCUGCCGUGGCCGUGGAGCAGAGGGGAGUGGGAAAGGGGGGUCUGGCAUGGCCGCCUGAGCUUCCAAGUGGCUGUGGGGUGAUGGAAGUUGCUGUAGCGGGGGGCUGGCAGGGGGCACGCCAUGACCUGUGUCCCUGCCCGCGGAGGGGUGUUCCAGCACACGGGAAAGGCCAAGUGUCACUUCCAGAACGGCAUUGCGGGGUGAAGUUGGUGGACAGGAACAGCUCAGACACUCGGCUGGGAAGCCGCUCUGCAUCAUCCUACGGUGAUCCUCGUCUGCCUCUCACCCAGCUCCGGGCUCUGGCAAUUCUCCUCUUCCGUCUGCAUUCAUCAGCCACCGGCACACCGGCAACAGCCUUACAGGUGUGGGGAAUGUGGGAAGAGGGUUCAGAGCAUCUCGGAUCUCAUGAAACGUCAGUGGACACACUCGGGAAAGUAUCUCCCCAGCCUCCACUCCUGUCAGGUCACAGCAUGAUCUGAGAAAUACUUGUUUAGGCCUCGGCCUUGACAAGCAGCUCCGGGGCUCAACUCCUCUUGAGUUUAUCACAAACAUUGUCUUUUCCAGGAACUGGGUCUGUCCAACCACCUCCAACACCCUUGGAAACUUUGUUUGUUUGUUUUUUGGUGUUGUUUUUGUUUUGUUUUGGUGGGUUGGUUUGGUUUUUUUGGUUUGGUUUGGUUUGGUUAGGUGGGUUUUUUUUGUGGGUUUGUUUGUUUGUUUGUUUGUUUGUUUGUUUGUUUUUUGUAUUUUUUUCCUGAAUAACAUCCCAGAUGGGAUUAUAUUUCUGUGCUCAACCUUUCCCAGAAAGUCACCAACCUGAGCUGGGGCCAGGGUGGAAGCUGCCUGUGACUAAAGCCCAUCCCUUGGGCCCUAUAAACAGCAGCCCUGAGUGAGACCCUUGGAACUCUUCUGGGCCACAGCAGCUGCAACAGCGACGUCCCUGUGCUGGGGCCUCUGCAAGUCCCCUGUGCUGGGAACUCUCCCAUUUGCUGCACUCGAGGCAUCCCUGAAUGAUGAUAUGUCCUGGGCUGAGCCCCGCCACUCCUCAAGGCUCUACCCUGCGCCUGGUGAGAAGAUGCAAAAGCAUCGGAAGGGAGAAUUCCACUGGAUUCCAGGGGAAUUUCCCACGGGACCUCGUACAGACUCCUGUCCAUAUGUGUGUGACGGUGAAUAUGCCAUAGCAAAUGUCUGCGAAUGCUGCUCUCCUGGAGUCAGAAGUACUUUAGAUUUGACCAGCACCCACUCCGGACUCCUGUGUCUCCCGAACCUAUUGCACCCCACAGGAGGAGCACGGAUGGAGCUGGGGCAGGUCGGGCUGGGUCAGGGCUGGGCUCUUGGCUGCUCCUGCCCACACUCGGUCCCCACUGCAGCUGCCACUGCCAGGAGAGCAUGGCGGGGGGGGAGGGGAGGGGGGGCAGGCUGGGUGCCCUCCAUCUUCCCCCUCCCCAAAAUUCCCCUUCUGGGGGGCACUGGAGGUGAGAGGGGGUGCAGGUGGGGUCCACAUGGGGAAUGUUGAGUGCUGCGGGUCUGCCUGGACACUGAUGAGUCAUCAGCCAAACCCCUGCAGAACUGGGUUAUACCUCGCAACCUCUUCAGGAACGGGGUCCCCCGUGACCUCAUCCUCCCCAGCCUUCAGCUGUCUCAUUUCAGACCCCAUCCCACCUCUCCUGAUCCCCAUCCCACCCCUCCCAAAUCACAUCCCACCUCUCCCAAACCCCAUCUCAGCUCUCCCAAUCCCUAUCCCAUCUUUCCCAGUCCAUAUCCCACCCUUCCUGAUUCACAUCCCACCCCUCCCUAUCCCCUUCCUUCCUCUCCAGGGUUUGGAGUGCUGUGGGAUUGCAUAGUUUUGAGGUGGUAUUGAGUCAUUUGGAGGUGGGGUUGAGCCAUUUUGGGCUGGGAUGGAGACACUUUCAGUGGCGUUGUGUGGUUUUGAGGUGAUGGAUAGAACCCCUCAUGUCUUGGGGUGGAAAGCAAUGGAAGACACUCCUCCAAAUUCCCUCAAAAGCCCCAAAACCUCCUGAAUAUCCCCCAGACUACAAAUCCCCGUUGCCCCCCCCCCACACCCCACCCCACCCCACCCCCCGCCCCCGGUCCCUGUAAAAUGGUGGGGUUUCACACAUCUAUGAUGAGGUUCUUUAUUUUUAACCAAUUUUGGGUAUUUUUAAAGGAUGGAUCACAAGAAAAUGAAGGCUAAAAUGAAAGAA